AAUGGUGGUGGGGGGGGUGGGCUCAGUGGAGAGGCGUCCCCAUAUACAACAUGCUUCAUGACGUUGCAUUACCAGUGGCUCCUUGAUGCUGUGGGGGGGUGGGGGGUACGGGUAAGCUGUCCCUUUUCAGUUCUUUGAGGCCUUAACUAAGCUGCAGGCAUCGGAGCGACUCUACCUCCCGCCCGUUGGAUAAACUGAACCAAGGAUACCUCACCUGGAUAAUCUGGUGACUACCUUUGGCUGUGUUGGAAGCGGACUGACUUCCUUAGUCCGUCUGGAGGCCGCCCCAGGGAGCCGCGCCCACGCUCAGGCCCAUUUAAGGUGAUGGAGACUUGGCAUCCUGAAACUUCGUCUGCAGCUGUUCGGAAGUCCCACAAGAUCUCCCCGUCGCAUCAAUCAAGGAAGCCUCUCCACACUCCGGACCGCGUCGUUUGUAUCUGGGACCGUCCAAGGAGCUGGAAAAAGGAGCCAAACCAUCUGAAAGCUCAAUGCCUCCAGCUUGCCGCAGCCUAACGGGAAGAAGACAGAGCCUCUCCCCUGUGCUUGGUGUGGGCAAGGCAGGCCUCUGAGAGAUUUCCUGGCGCCAGGUUCAUGGAAGCAACCACGAGCAGCAGAGCCCACACUGGUCUGCGCCACCCUGGCCUUGGAGUUGGAAGGGGGUGCUGGCCAAUUUUAGUCCUUCUGCCCCCCUUCUGGCUUGGUCCAAGUUGGGAAUUUAGAGUCUGGAAUCCAGAAAACUCGCCUGUGAACUUAAAUGUAGAAUUACUAUUUGAUCCUGUAGUUCUACUCCCGGGACAUCCCCCCACCCCCUGAAGAACGGACAGCGGGGCUCAAACAGAUGUUUGUCCACACAUGCUGUUGGCGCCAUGAUUCUGAAUAGCCCAAAGGUGGAGAACAAAAGGAGGAUCAACAAAACGCGGCAUCACACACACACACACAGACACACACACAUACACACACAGACAGACACACACAGACACACACACACAGACACACACAGACACACAUACACACACAGACACACAUACACAGACACACAUACACACACACAGACACACAGACACACACACACAGACACAUAUACACACACAUACACACACAGACAGACACACACAGACACACACACAGACACACAGACACACACAGACACACAUACACACACAGACACACACACAGACACACACACAGACACACAUACACAGACACACAUACACACAUACACACACACACACAGACACACAUACACACACAUACACACACACAGACACACAUACACACACACAGACAGACACACACACACAGUGGGAUACUGUUCAGACCUAACAAGGAAGGAAAUUCAGACACCGGCUCCCACACGGAUGAACCUUGGAAACAUGACGCUAAAGACAUCAGCCAGAUACAAAGGGACAAAUCCUGCAGAUGCCAUGCUUCUGAGUACCUGGAAGAGUCAAAUUCACAGACAGAAGUCGCACACUACAAACAACUUUGCUACAGUUGCUGUGCGGGGAGAUGGGGGUGCGAAGCAAAAUGGAGAGAACAAGCCACAGGCUCUUUGGUAGCCCUGCCAGCCCGAGCAGCCCCUCUCUGCUUGAGGAGGCUGAACAGAGAGGAGGCUACCCACGGCGGCUGCAGAGAGUGGUGUGGACUGGCUACCUUCACAAUCUGCCUCAAAGAAAGAAGGCUUUUCCUUUCCGAUCUACUUGUGUUUGAUGGUCCCCCCUCACCUUUCCUUCAACUAGUCCGACCGAAGCUUUGAUCUCAGCAGGCAAGAGAGUGAAUUAACACGGGCCGCGGGCAUCCUCAUCUUUAAGUGAGAGGGCAGUGGCUCAGAGCCAGAGGGCAAGAUCCUGAGCCAAAGACCUAAACAGCGCGAGGAUGCCCGGGACCCCGCGGGCAGAGCAAAGCCUGUGCACCCCACGGGCAUGCGCGCGCUCGUUGCCCGGCGAGAUGCUGGUCUUCGCGCGGCGCGGAUUCACCCGGCGGCCGGAGCAAGCAGGAGGUGGGUUGGGGCCGGGGCCGGGGUGCUGGUCUCAUAACGGGACUCUGCCUCCGCGGAGCGGGCUCUGGGGGGACGUGACCGCAGCCCCAGGUAGGGCGGGCGCACCGUGCACACGUGGAGCGCACGUGGCAGCCUGGCAGGGGUGCCCGGGUUGGCGGGUCUCCCUGCGGCCGGGCAGGUGUGUCUUCUCGCUCGCUCUGGCCCGGGCUGGGGCCUUCCGAGCGGGGGCGGCUCCUGCAGGUUCCUGCAGGUUCGUGCUGGUUUUUUCUUGCUGACGAUAAAGCAGGCAGGAAAGGCACGCGGUGCUCCGAGAUCCGUCUGCGGAAGGGGAAUUGCUACCAGAAGGCUGUUUGGGUUAAAAUUCAGCGGUAGAAAUGCCAGGCU